rnacentral:rRNA from 1 species
UAGGGAAUCUUCCGCAAUGGACGCAAGUCUGACGGAGCAACGCCGCGUGAGUGAAGAAGGAUUUCGGUUCGUAAAACUCUGUUGUUAGAGAAGAACAGCGCAUAGAGUAACUGUUAUGCGUGUGACGGUAUCUAACCAGAAAGCCACGGCUAACUACGUGCCAGCAGCCGCGGUAAUACGUAGGUGGCAAGCGUUGUCCGGAUUUAUUGGGCGUAAAGCGAGCGCAGGCGGUCAAUUAAGUCUGAUGUGAAAGCCCCCGGCUCAACCGGGGAGGGUCAUUGGAAACUGGUUGACUUGAGUGCAGAAGAGGAGAGUGGAAUUCCAUGUGUAGCGGUGAAAUGCGUAGAUAUAUGGAGGAACACCAGUGGCGAAGGCGACUCUCUGGUCUGUAACUGACGCUGACGUUCGAAAGCGUGGGUAGCAAACAGG